GACGAACGCUGGCGGCGUGCUUAACACAUGCAAGUCGAACGGAAAGGCCCUGCUUUUGUGGGGUGCUCGAGUGGCGAACGGGUGAGUAACACGUGAGUAACCUGCCCUUGACUUUGGGAUAACUUUAGGAAACUGGGGCUAAUACCGGAUAGGAGCUCCUGCUGCAUGGUGGGGGUUGGAAAGUUUCGGCGGUUGGGGAUGGACUGGAGGCUUAUCAGCUUGUUGGUGGGGUAGUGGCUUACCAAGGCUUUGACGGGUAGCCGGCCUGAGGGGGUGACCGGCCACCUUGGGACUGAGAUACGGCCCAGACGCCUACGGGGGGCAGCAGUGGGGAAUAUUGCACAAUGGGCGGAAGCCUGAUGCAGCAACGCCGCGUGCGGGAUGACGGCCUUCGGGUUGUAAACCGCUUUCGCCUGUGACGAAGCGUGAGUGACGGUAAUGGGUAAAGAAGCACCGGCUAACUACGUG
rnacentral:rRNA from 1 species